rnacentral:rRNA from 1 species
UACGGAGGGUCCAAGCGUUAUCCGGAAUCAUUGGGUUUAAAGGGUCCGUAGGCGGUUUUGUAAGUCUGUGGUGAAAGCCCAUCGCUCAACGGUGGAACGGCCAUUGAUACUGCAAGACUUGAAUUAUUAGGAAGUAACUAGAAUAUGUAGUGUAGCGGUGAAAUGCUUAGAGAUUACAUGGAAUACCAAUUGCGAAGGCAGGUUACUGCUAAUGGAUUGACGCUGAUGGACGAAAGCGUGGGGAGCGAACAGG